rnacentral:tRNA from 1 species
AGCAGAGUGGCGCAGUGGCAGCGUGCUGGGCCCAUAACCCAGAGGUCCGAGGGUCAAAACCUCGCUCUGCUA